UACGGAGGGUGCAAGCGUUAUCCGGAUUCACUGGGUUUAAAGGGUGCGUAGGUGGGUUGAUAAGUCAGUGGUGAAAUCCCCGAGCUUAACUUGGGAACUGCCAUUGAUACUAUCGAUCUUGAAUACCGUGGAGGUCAGCGGAAUAUGUCAUGUAGCGGUGAAAUGCUUAGAUAUGACAUAGAACACCAAUUGCGAAGGCAGCUGGCUACGCGAAUAUUGACACUGAUGCACGAAAGCGUGGGGAUCAAACAGG
rnacentral:rRNA from 1 species